CUUUACGUUGGGCACCUUGUUAAUUUUUAGCCUGUGCCCUUCCCCACCUUUGCCCUCCCAGUGGUUGGUAUGUGGGAAGCCCAUCUCAGUUCCUGUGACUUCAUGUCUCAAACCAAGGAUGAGCGUCUGGUCUCUGCUAUGAUGGUGGUAUCUGAGGCCUUUCCCUGCCCAGUCUGGUGCCUGCCCCACAUUGUACCAGACACUGGAUUCCUGGACCCCCCUUCUCCUUUCCUUUCUUUCCUUCAGGUCACGCAGCCCUGUACUGUAUCCAGCACCACAGAAACCUCAGUGUUUUUCCUCUGCUGGUUUGGGGCACAAGGAAGCCUUAGGGUAUGGGGAAAGGCUGUUAUUACCUAGAGUUUACUCCCAGGCCAGGGGGCUGCCAUCUUCUUCACAGACAUCCCUGAAAGGAAGCCCCUUUGGGGCAGGGAGGUGAGGACUUCAUCUCAACAUAGGCUGGUGGUUGGUAGGGGAGCUUUUUCUUUUCUUUCCCUUUUUUUUUUUUUUUUUUUUUUUUUUUGGGUAACAUGUUAGGAGUUAAUGUUGCAAAGAGUAGUUUACAUCUUCACUUUCUGAAGACACUUGAAUUUAGGACCGAUGUAUCUGUGACAAGCAUGCCAGAAGUGGCAGGGGCCAUCAGGGCUAACCACUUCACACCCACCAUCAUCCCAUGGGGAUCCAAGACCUGAGAUAAAGCAACAGCCUGCCCAGAUCCCUCUGUUCAUCCUAUCCCUUCCGAGGUUGGUCCAUGCCAACAUAACCUCUGGGCAUCAGACAUCAGCAGGUCUGUGUUCUCAGCCCUGUUAAGGGGCAGGUUUCUCUUUAGCCCUCUUCCUGCACCUGGGAGCAAAGGCACUACCAGUAGAGAAGGGCCAUCCAGCCCUGCCCCAGCCUGGACCCCUGGGGCUCAGAUAGAUGUGCUGAGCCCCUAUGUCAAAGUUGUUAAAUGUUUUUGUUUUGUUCCAUUGUAGCUUUUUUUUUUUUUUUUUCCCCCUUUCCUGGUGAUUGAUUUUACAAAAGAAAGUAAGCUGCUUAGAAGGCCCUGGAAGGGAAGUGAGGAGGAGGGACAAGGAAGAUGACUAGUUACGGAGGGUGAGGGUUGUUUUUUUGCCAAAAAAGCCUGGGUAGAGUGAUCUGAAUUAUCUGGCACCCUCCUGAAUGGAACCCCAGAGUACCUCCUGUGUGGAAGGGUCCCUGGAUUUUCCCUAACACCCACCCUCUCCCCCUUCAGCCAUGCUGAUGGCAGAGAAGAUAAGAACUUGGAGCCCAUUUCUCACUGGAGAGGAAAACUUGUCAUCUGGCUUUGCGGAGAAGGUUCCACCUUACGCUCGUAGUACAUUAUCUUUACUAUGUGCUAGGAUAUCAUAUUUAAAAGGACAAAAAAAUGUAAAAUACUUGAAUGAGCUUGUAUUAUAACAUUAAUAUUAUUGAGAGUAUCUGCUUUCCAGGCUGAAGUGAUUCAUUCAUUAUUCUAGUCCUGCUUUAGUCCUUUGUAAUUUGUGGUAAUUAUGCUUUUCUUUUUAAUACAAAAAAAUGUAUAAAAAUAAA
rnacentral:lncRNA from 1 species